rnacentral:snoRNA from 1 species
AAGGUGGACGAGGAAGAUGUGGUCUCCCACAUCCUCGCCAAACUGGAGGACGAGUUCGAUCUCGUGGUGUCCGCCAUGUGCUCACAGGUUGAACCUGUUACUGUCCUGGAGCUGUAUUCGCAACUUUUGAGCUUCGAGA